ensembl:lncRNA
GUUGGGCUUCCUCCGGUGCAAACCAGUUCUGUGAGAAGAGAGCAGAAGAAUGAAAAGGAAGCAUGCAGGUCUGAAUGAUUUUUGAAGGGGAAAGCUAUCCAUUGUGCAGACCCUCCUUCAAAUGAAUAGAUCUGCAUUAAAAGUGUUCGUGAACUUGGCGAUGGACUAUGAUUUAAUCCAUUGUGGAGACUUUUCCACCAGAGUAAGUGAAAUGCAUGUAAGGGGAGUGCUGGGUGAUUUUUCCUUCCUUCACCACCUUUGUGUUUGUCACCUUGGUGGCAAGGGAAUUGUUCCCCUGUCCUCAUCUGCUGGUGAGGGCGCUCGGUUAUGGG